CCGAGUUUACAACUCCCAAACCCCUGUGAACAUACCACUUGUUGCCUCGGCGGAUCAGCCCGCUCCCGGUAAAACGGGACGGCCCGCCAGAGGACCCCUAAACUCUGUUUCUAUAUGUAACUUCUGAGUAAUACCAUAAAUAAAUCA
rnacentral:misc_RNA from 1 species